GAGUGGCAGACGGUGAGUAACGCGUGGGAACAUACCCUUUCCUGCGGAAUAGCUCCGGGAAACUGGAAUUAAUACCGCGUACGCCCUACGGGGGAAAGAUUUAUCGGGGAAGGAUUGGCCCGCGUUGGAUUAGCUAGUUGGUGGGGUAAAGGCCUACCAAGGCGACGAUCCAUAGCUGGUCUGAGAGGAUGAUCAGCCACAUUGGGACUGAGACACGGCCCAAACUCCUACGGGAGGCAGCAGUGGGGAAUAUUGGACAAUGGGCGCAAGCCUGAUCCAGCCAUGCCGCGUGAGUGAUGAAGGCCUUAGGGUUGUAAAGCUCUUUCACCGGAGAAGAUAAUGACGGUAUCCGGAG
rnacentral:rRNA from 1 species